rnacentral:rRNA from 1 species
AGAGUUUGAUCAUGGCUCAGAUUGAACGCUGGCGGCAUGCUUUACACAUGCAAGUCGAACGGCAGCACGGGGGGCAACCCCUGGUGGCGAGUGGCGAACGGGUGAGUAAUGUAUCGGAACGUACCCUAUAGCGGGGGAUAACGCGUCGAAAGAUGUGCUAAUACCGCAUACGCUCUACGGAGGAAAGCGGAGGACCGAAAGGCUUCGCACUACAGGAGCGGCCGAUAUCGGAUUAGCUAGUUGGCGGGGUAACGGCCCACCAAGGCGACGAUCCGUAGCUGGUCUGAGAGGACGAUCAGCCACACUGGAACUGACACACGGUCCAGACUCCUACGGGAGGCAGCAGUGGGGAAUUUUGGACAAUGGGCGCAAGCCUGAUCCAGCCAUGCCGCGUGAGUGAAGAAGGCCUUCGGGUUGUAAAGCUCUUUCGGCGGGGACGAAACGGUUCGUGCUAAUACCACGGACUAAUGACGGUACCCGAAGAAGAGAC